GUCCCUGUAGCGCAAUGGAUAACGCAUUGGACUUCUAAUUCAAAGGGUGUGGGUUUAAAUCCCACUUGAGAUA